rnacentral:rRNA from 1 species
UACAGAGACUGCGAGCGUUAUUCGGAUUCACUGGGCGUAAAGGGUGCGCAGGCGGCCGAGUGUGUGAGGCGUGAAAGCCCGGGGCUUAACCCCGGAAUUGCGCCUCAAACUACACGGCUAGAGCAUUGGAGAGGGUAGCAGAAUUCACGGUGUAGCAGUGAAAUGCGUAGAUAUCGUGAGGAAUACCAGAGGCGAAGGCGGCUACCUGGACAAUUGCUGACGCUCAGGCACGAAAGCGUGGGGAGCAAAAGGG